rnacentral:rRNA from 1 species
AAUCCAUAGGUUAAUGAGGCGAACCGGGGGAACUGAAACAUCUAAGUACCCCGAGGAAAAGAAAUCAACCGAGAUUCCCCCAGUAGCGGCGAGCGAACGGGGAGGAGCCCAGAGCCUGAAUCAGCAUGUGUGUUAGUGGAAGCGUCUGGAAAGGCGCGCGAUACAGGGUGACAGCCCCGUACACAAAAGCGCAUGUGCUGUGAGCUCGAUGAGUAGGGCGGGACACGUGGUAUCCUGUCUGAAUAUGGGGGGACCAUCCUCCAAGGCUAAAUACUCCUGACUGACCGAUAGUGAACCAGUACCGUGAGGGAAAGGCGAAAAGAACCCCGGCGAGGGGAGUGAAAAAGAACCUGAAACCGUGUACGUACAAGCAGUGGGAGCACCCUUUGGGUGUGACUGCGUACCUUUUGUAUAAUGGGUCAGCGACUUAUAUUCUGUAGCAAGGUUAACCGAAUAGGGGAGCCGGAGGGAAACCGAGUCUUAAUUGGGCGUUAAGUUGCAGGGUAUAGACCCGAAACCCGGUGAUCUAGCCAUGGGCAGGUUGAAGGUUGGGUAACACUAACUGGAGGACCGAACCGACUAAUGUUGAAAAAUUAGCGGAUGACCUGUGGCUGGGGGUGAAAGGCCAAUCAAACCGGGAGAUAGCUGGUUCUCCCCGAAAGCUAUUUAGGUAGCGCCUCGUGAAUUCAUCUCCGGGGGUAGAGCACUGUUUCGGCUAGGGGGCCAUCCCGGCUUACCAACCCGAUGCAAACUGCGAAUACCGGAGAAUGUUAUCACGGGAGACACACGGCGGGUGCUAACGUCCGUCGUGAAGAGGGAAACAACCCAGACCGCCAGCUAAGGUCCCAAAGUCAUGGUUAAGUGGGAAACGAUGUGGGAAGGCCCAGACAGCCAGGAUGUUGGCUUAGAAGCAGCCAUCAUUUAAAGAAAGCGUAAUAGCUCACUGGUCGAGUCGGCCUGCGCGGAAGAUGUAACGGGGCUAAACCAUGCACCGAAGCUGCGGCAGCGACACUGUGUGUUGUUGGGUAGGGGAGCGUUCUGUAAGCCUGUGAAGGUGU